GGGGAACCUCAAGUUAGAAUUUCUUCACUUCAGGGCGUGUAGAGUCUCAAUCACUACCCUGAAUUAAUGUUGCUGUUCCCCGGCUAAAUUUUUCUGGUGGUUGCUGCUGAAACAUAUCUUGCAAUUGUAAUGAGAACCACAAGGGCUGAUCUAGUCAUGAUGUUGGUUUGGAAAGGGGAGAUGUCUGCAGGAUGCUCACGCAGGCCCAGCAACAACGUUGUGCAACAGUUGUUGGGAGAGAUCACUGGAAGUCCCCCACCGCCUUGGCCAUGCCAUAUGAGCAGCACCGGGACCGGUCAGACAAGUGGGGGCGCACCGUGCCCCGAGCCCCCCGCCUUCCCAGUUUCCAGAUGAGUAACUGCCAGCCGUCUUGGGAGUAUUCAAGGAUAAUUUAUUUUGAAAAAGUACCAUCAUGACUCUCACACAGAAAUAAAGUGAA